rnacentral:tRNA from 1 species
GCUCGUGUAGCUCAGUUGGCAGAGCAGGUGAUUCUUAAUCACCGGGUCCAAGGUUCGAAUCCUUGCACGAGCA